CCAAACAAAAACUCAAGCCCCUUCUUCCCCAACCCUAAUUUUCCGAUUCACCGCCGGUCAGAUCUGGAGGAAGCAGUAAUCAAAACGGCCGAGCAUCCAUCGAGCAUCAUGAACCGACGGUUAGCUUCUCCCUCUCUCUCUUCGUGUAUUCUUCCGCUAAGAUGUUCUCCUCAUUUUGCAUGAAACAAAUGGGAUUCAUGGGGCAAAGCGAGAACUUGAUGUCCAACGGGUCGAAUUGCAUGUCCUUUCGAGGGAGCUCUAUCUUUCUUAACUCAACAAUGGAUAAGCUCUAUCUUGC
rnacentral:lncRNA from 1 species